rnacentral:rRNA from 1 species
CUACGGGCCGCUGCAGUUAGGAAUAAUCUACAAUGCGCGAAAGCGUGAUAGUUUGAGCCAGAGUGUUUUUCAAUUGAAAGACUUUUGUGGAAUGUAAAAAGUUUCACGAAUAAGGACUGGGUAAGACUAGUGCCAGCCGCCGCGGUAAUACUAGCGGUCCAAGUCGCAACCAUUUUUAUUGGGUCUAAAACAUCCGUAGCUUGCUUGACAAGUCUUCUGUGAAAUUUUACGUCUAAAACGUAGAGCGCGCAGAAGGUACUAUCAAGCUAGAGACCGGAAGACGUAAGAAGUACAUUCAGAGUAGCGGUUAAAUGUGUUAAUCCUGGAUGGACUAACAAGAGCGAAGGCAUCUUACGAGGACGGUUCUGACAGUAAGGGAUGAAAGCUAGGGGCGCAAAUGGGAUUAGAUACCCGAGUAGUC